UACGUAGGUGGCGAGCGUUGUCCGGAUUUACUGGGCGUAAAGCGUGCGCAGGCGGUUCGUUGUGUCGGCGGUGAAAGCCCCGGGCUUAACCUGGGAAUGGCCGUCGAAACUGGCGAACUGGAGUGUGGCAGAGGGGGGUGGAAUUCCGCGUGUAGCAGUGAAAUGCGUAGAGAUGCGGAGGAACACCGAUGGCGAAGGCAGCCCCCUGGGCUGACACUGACGCUCAGGCACGAAAGCGUGGGGAGCAAACAGG
rnacentral:rRNA from 1 species